rnacentral:hammerhead_ribozyme from 1 species
ACCUAUCUGAUGAGUCUCAAACAGGUCGAAAUGCUCAUCCUAGAU